GGUGAGAUGGCCGAGCGGUCUAAGGCGCCAGGUUCAGGCCCACCUGAAUUCUCAUAUUUCCUGGUCUCGAAAGGGGCGUGGGUUCGAAUCCCACUCUCAUCA